CUUUACCUUUGGCUUGUCUUCAGAACUAGAAACAACUUUUACAUUUUCCACUUUCCUUUCACAUUCCUAUGAUUUCCGUCUUUCAACAUAGCUUCAUCAAACCUCCAUAAAUGCAUCACAUUCAUCCAUCUUCAACAACGAAGGAAAUACUUUAAUGCCUAUUUUUUCUUCCGACUGUUAAAAGGUUAUAACACUGUUAUUUUCAUAUAUGAUGCACUUGUGUUGAAACUUUGGAUGUGAUUCAUUUUCUGAAUAAAACAAUUUUACAUUUCGUAGAUGGUUCAUUAUGUUUUUUGAAUUCACUCCCAUGUUUUGUUGUUGUCGUAGUUCAGUAGUCAAUAAACUCAUUUGUGAUAAACUAACUGCAUGUUCAUACUCAUAUGUGAUGAACUAUCUGUUUGUUUACAUUUUCAUGUCGUUUUCUUAUAUCAGAUACAUUUCUUUGUGUUGUCAUAGUAGUUUUGUAUUAAAUAUCCGGUCUUUUAAUUAUUUUUUCCAACUUCGGAUGUGAUUCAUUUUUUGAAUAGAACCAUUUUACAUUUCACAAAUGUUUCACUGUUUUAUGUUAUGUCAUGUUUUACCAUGAUUUUCAUAAUGUUCUUAAUCAUUCUUCUGACAUAUUAAUGUUUAUGAGAUUACAUCAACCGAAAAUCAUGUCCAAGCCACCAAUUCUUAUCAGUGCAUUGAGACCUGAUCAAAAAGUAUGGAAAAUUGUAAUACGCGUUACUGAUCUAUGGGUAGUGAAGGAGCGCAACGGACAACGGCAUGUCGAAGCUAUUAUACAUGAUUCCGAGUUGUUACUUUUUUUGUAUUUCCCAUUAUUUAUUUGUUGAAUCCAAGUUUAACAUACUAAUAUAGAUUCUUUUCAAUGGCAAGGGACACCAAAUCCACGUGUGUGACCAUGAGUUGUGAACUUGAGUUGUGGACGCAAACAUUAAAAAAGCAUCACACAUAUAAGGUUUAUAACGAAGAGUCUCAAAUUUAUGAUCUGUCAUUGAAAGUAUGUGACAACAAGUCCAAAAUAUUUUUUAAUGGGACAACCGCAGUCACAACCAUUGACAUGCCUGGCAUACCACUUCAUAACUUCAAUUUCAAGCCGUUAGGAGAUUUUUUGAAUGAAGACUUUGAAGUUUACAGCUUAUACGUUGUAAGGUCUCAAACAGGCGGGUGUGGCAAAAAGGCUCGCAUCAAUGUUAUACUCUCCGAUGAAUGUGGAGCUGAACUAGAUGUCACACUUUGGAAGUUGUACGUAAAUCAACUUUUGGCAUACACAAAAGAAAUACCCCCCCCCAGUUGUGAUACUCACCCAUGCUUGGUGUCACCAAAGUUCAUCCACUAGGAAGCUCGACGUUUGAAAUGCUUGGAAUGGAUCGAAAUUGCUCCUCAACUAUGAUCAUCCCCAAGUCACUGAAUUCAAAUCGAACUUUGAAGAUGGCAAGCCAUAUCUGAUUGCUUCGCAAACACUGUCUGUCAAUUUUGGAUCACAAGCAGCUUUUGAAGAAAGACCAUUCUCCUUUAUUAAAGAUGUCAAAACUAUUGGCCAAAUCAUUUCUCUUAAGGAUAUCUGUUAUUAUUCUUACUAGACAUUUAAUAUUACAAUAUUUUGUUAGUUAUAUCAGAAUACAUAUUCUUUAUGACAUUGUUACUGUUUCUAAUAUGUUACUUUUUGCAAUACUAUUGGUAUGACUAAAAGGUUCAAGGCUAAUUGUUUUGACUGGUAUUAUGAAGUUUUUCCAACAUGUAACAAGACCAACAAAUCACCCGGUGAGUCUUUUCAAUGUGACUGUUCAGAUAACAAGCCUCCCCCAAUCACCAAGUUCAAAAUAGAAAUUGAGGUUGAACAUGAUAACAAGAUUGGAAAUUUCUUCUUUUGGGAUAAGGAAUGUAUCCCCUUGAUUUGUAAAUCAGCUCAUGAUUUACGACAAAUUAUGGAAAAGGUUGGCAUCUUCAAGCAGGUGGUUGCGGCUCGUGGAGUGAAGUUUUGUAGAGGAAUAAUAGCAAUGAUGAGAUAUGCAUGGAGCCCACUGACUCAAGUUUCUGGAAGAACCUUGUGAAGCUUUGGCCAAUGUUGAAUGACACUUGAUUGUGGAAUAUCGAUAAUGGUGAAUCAGUGGAGGCGUGGAGAACAAGUUGGAUUACAUCGGGUAUCAAAAUCAUUGAUCUGAAUCUUCAUAUCCUAUCCACGAUCAUGAAUGCUAAAUUCUCAGAGCUUGUUGACAAUGAAGGUGACUGGAACUAGAAGUGUUUGAACAACUUGCUCCCUGAUGAUUUAUUGAGUAGAAUAACAAGUAUUACCCAUACUUGUAAAGAUAUGGGUUCUGAUAUAAGAAUAGCAUUAGCAGAGAUGAACAAGAGCUUUAAUGUUGGAAGUAUGUAUCGAGCUAUUGCAGGGCAGAAAAAUGAUAUUGGGGAUAAUAAUUGGAAAAUAAUUUGGAAAAUCCAAGCUCCUGAGAGAAUUAGAUGCUUUACGUGACUGGCAUGUUAUGAUGGAUUACUUACAAACUGGAAAAAGAAUUGUAUGAGGAUAGGUAGUGCCAUGUACGCCUUUUGUCAGGAUGUGGAAGAGGACGCUCUACAUGUGCUAAGGGAUUGUCAUAUGGUUAUGCCUCUUUGGUUUUCCAUUAUUCACAUAAAUGUGAGAGUUACAGGAAAUAUAGAUCAUUGGAUCAAGAUGAACCUGAGUAGUAAUAUGGAAUGGAAUGAACAUGAAGAUUGGAACGCCUUUUGGGUUACACCUUGUUAUAGCCUGUGGAGAUGGCACAACAAAGAGAUCUAUGGUGAUAACUUUAAUAGACCUUAUUGUAUGGAGAUUCAUAUAAGAAUGAUGGUAAGUGACUAUGAUUGUGCAAAAUUAGCUUCUAAAAUCAUUGUGCACCAUAAAGAGAAGUUUAGGUAGUCCGAUGGGAUUAUCCUCCUUUAGGAAGGGUUAAAUUGAAUACCAACCGGGAAAAGGAUGUUAAAGGCAAAGUAGGAUGUGGAGGUCUUAUUCGAAGAAAUGAAGGGGAGUGGUUAAGAGGUUUCUCCCAUAGGAUUGAAAUUUGUAAUGAGUAUGUUGCAGAAUUAUUGGGAGGUUGAAACUUGCUACUAGGUUGGGAUUCAAGGCUAUUGAAAUCAAUAUUGAUUCCCAACUAGUAGUGAAUGCAAUUAAAUCUAAGGAAUCUUGUAGUGAUAUUAGGAAGAGUCUCAUCACCAAAAUCAAAAUAAGAAAAUUUUGUUAAAGCAUGUGCAUAAAGAAGCAAAUUCCAAUGCGGAUGUUUUAACAAAUAAUGACAUUGAUCUCCAUGAAGAGCUAUGUUUCUUUGUAGUGUGUCCUACUUUUGUUAAUCAUCUCUUUUAAGGUGAUUUGAUGGGAAUCUCUAUUCCCCGAUUAAUCCCGGUGUAAUCUUUUUCUUUUGGUCUUUUGUCCUCCUUUAUUCAAAAAAAAGUUG